GAAGAGACAAGUCCGCAGUAGGAGCAUGGUCAGGUGCAGGACGUGAAUCAACCGGGCCGGAUGCUGGGCGAGGACGACGAUGAUAUGUCAAGAAAGGAGUGUCUUGUGCAGGGAGUCUAGGAGGAGCCACAGUAGACGUUCCAACGUUUGGAAUGGGUAAGACUUCUGUAGUGGAAGGUGAAUGAGGAGAUAUAGUAGACUCCCUAAAGGCCGAUAUAGGUAAAACCUCAGAUAUAUCAAGAUGGUCAGAAGAGGUAAAGAAAGGUGGUAGUGGAAGGUAAAGGAGAAUCUAUAGUACGCUCCGUAAAGGUCGGUAUAGGUGAGAUCGCAGAUAUAUCAGGGAGGUCAGAAUGGUUAG
rnacentral:lncRNA from 1 species